GGUUAAGCGACCAAGCGUACACGGUGGAUGCCCUGGCAGUCAGAGGCGAUGAAGGACGUGCUAAUCUGCGAAAAGCGCCGGCGAGGUGAUAUGAACCCUUGACCCGGCGAUGUCCGAAUGGGGAAACCCAGUGUGAUUCGUCACACUAUCGUUAGCUGAAUACAUAGGCUAACGAGGCGAACCGGGGGAACUGAAACAUCUAAGUACCCCGAGGAAAAGAAAUCAACCGAGAUUCCCCCAGUAGCGGCGAGCGAACGGGGAGGAGCCCAGAGCCUGAAUCAGCUUGUGUGUUAGUGGAAGCGUCUGGAAAGUCGCACGGUACAGGGUGAAAGUCCCGUACACGAAAACGCACAGGCUGUGAGCUCGAUGAGUAGGGCGGGACACGUGGUAUCCUGUCUGAAUAUGGGGGGACCAUCCUCCAAGGCUAAAUACUCCUGACUGACCGAUAGUGAACCAGUACCGUGAGGGAAAGGCGAAAAGAACCCCGGCGAGGGGAGUGAAAAAGAACCUGAAACCGUGUACGUACAAGCAGUGGGAGCCUCUUUUAUGGGGUGACUGCGUACCUUUUGUAUAAUGGGUCAGCGACUUAUAUUCUGUAGCAAGGUUAACCGUAUAGGGGAGCCGAAGGGAAACCGAGUCUUAACUGGGCGUUAAGUUGCAGGGUAUAGACCCGAAACCCGGUGAUCUAGCCAUGGGCAGGUUGAAGGUUGGGUAACACUAACUGGAGGACCGAACCGACUAAUGUUGAAAAAUUAGCGGAUGACCUGUGGCUGGGGGUGAAAGGCCAAUCAAACCGGGAGAUAGCUGGUUCUCCCCGAAAGCUAUUUAGGUAGCGCCUCGUGAAUUCAUCUCCGGGGGUAGAGCACUGUUUCGGCUAGGGGGCCAUCCCGGCUUACCAACCCGAUGCAAACUGCGAAUACCGGAGAAUGUUAUCACGGGAGACACACGGCGGGUGCUAACGUCCGUCGUGAAGAGGGAAACAACCCAGACCGCCAGCUAAGGUCCCAAAGUCAUGGUUAAGUGGGAAACGAUGUGGGAAGGCCCAGACAGCCAGGAUGUUGGCUUAGAAGCAGCCAUCAUUUAAAGAAAGCGUAAUAGCUCACUGGUCGAGUCGGCCUGCGCGGAAGAUGUAACGGGGCUAAACCAUGCACCGAAGCUGCGGCAGCGACGCUUAUGCGUUGUUGGGUAGGGGAGCGUUCUGUAAGCCGUUGAAGGUGUGCUGUGAGGCAUGCUGGAGGUAUCAGAAGUGCGAAUGCUGACAUAAGUAACGAUAAAGCGGGUGAAAAGCCCGCUCGCCGGAAGACCAAGGGUUCCUGUCCAACGUUAAUCGGGGCAGGGUGAGUCGACCCCUAAGGCGAGGCCGAAAGGCGUAGUCGAUGGGAAACAGGUUAAUAUUCCUGUACUUGGUGUUACUGCGAAGGGGGGACGGAGAAGGCUAUGUCGGCCGGGCGACGGUUGUCCCGGUUUAAGCAUGUAGGCGGAGGUUCCAGGUAAAUCCGGUACCUUAUUAAACGCUGAGGUGUGAUGACGAGGCACUACGGUGCUGAAGUGACAAAUGCCCUGCUUCCAGGAAAAGCCUCUAAGCAUCAGGUAACACGAAAUCGUACCCCAAACCGACACAGGUGGUCAGGUAGAGAAUACCAAGGCGCUUGAGAGAACUCGGGUGAAGGAACUAGGCAAAAUGGUGCCGUAACUUCGGGAGAAGGCACGCUGAUAUGUAGGUGAAGUGAUUUACUCAUGGAGCUGAAAUCAGUCGAAGAUACCAGCUGGCUGCAACUGUUUAUUAAAAACACAGCACUGUGCAAACACGAAAGUGGACGUAUACGGUGUGACGCCUGCCCGGUGCCGGAAGGUUAAUUGAUGGGGUUAUCCCUCGGGAGAAGCUCUUGAUCGAAGCCCCGGUAAACGGCGGCCGUAACUAUAACGGUCCUAAGGUAGCGAAAUUCCUUGUCGGGUAAGUUCCGACCUGCACGAAUGGCGUAAUGAUGGCCAGGCUGUCUCCACCCGAGACUCAGUGAAAUUGAACUCGCUGUGAAGAUGCAGUGUACCCGCGGCAAGACGGAAAGACCCCGUGAACCUUUACUAUAGCUUGACACUGAACACUGGUCCUUGAUGUGUAGGAUAGGUGGGAGGCUUUGAAGUGCGGACGCCAGUCUGCAUGGAGCCGCCCUUGAAAUACCACCCUUUAAUGGCUGGUGUUCUAACGUGGGCCCGUAAUCCGGGUUGCGGACAGUGUCUGGUGGGUAGUUUGACUGGGGCGGUCUCCUCCUAAAGAGUAACGGAGGAGCACGAAGGUCAGCUAAUCCUGGUCGGACAUCAGGAGGUUAGUGCAAUGGCAUAAGCUGGCUUGACUGCGAGCGUGACGGCGCGAGCAGGUGCGAAAGCAGGUCAUAGUGAUCCGGUGGUUCUGAAUGGAAGGGCCAUCGCUCAACGGAUAAAAGGUACUCCGGGGAUAACAGGCUGAUACCGCCCAAGAGUUCAUAUCGACGGCGGUGUUUGGCACCUCGAUGUCGGCUCAUCACAUCCUGGGGCUGAAGUAGGUCCCAAGGGUAUGGCUGUUCGCCAUUUAAAGUGGUACGCGAGCUGGGUUUAGAACGUCGUGAGACAGUUCGGUCCCUAUCUGCCGUGGGCGCUGGAGAACUGAGGGGGGCUGCUCCUAGUACGAGAGGACCGGAGUGGACGCAUCACUGGUGUUCGGGUUGUCAUGCCAAUGGCACUGCCCGGUAGCUAAAUGCGGAAGAGAUAAGUGCUGAAAGCAUCUAAGCACGAAACUUGCCCCGAGAUGAGUUCUCCCUGACUCCUUGAGAGUCCUGAAGGAACGUUGAAGACGACGACGUUGAUAGGCCGGGUGUGUAAGCGCAGCGAUGCGUUGAGCUAACCGGUACUAAUGAACCGUGAGGCUUAACCUU
rnacentral:rRNA from 1 species